rnacentral:rRNA from 1 species
UACAUAGGUCCCAAGCGUUGUUCGGAUUCACUGGGCGUAAAGGGUGCGUAGGUGGCAAGGUAAGUUUGAUGUGAAAUCUUCGAGCUCAAAUCGGAAACUGCAUUGAAUACUAUCUUGCUUGAGGAUUGGAGGGGAGGCUGGAAUUCUCGGUGUAGCAGUGAAAUGCGUAGAUAUCGAGAGGAACACCGGUGGCGAAGGCGGCCAACUGGACAGAUACUGACGCUGAGACACGAAAGCGUGGGGAGCAAACAGG